UGAGCUCGGGUUUGAUGACACACACAAGCUGAUUACUACCUCUGAAAUACCAGUAAAACUGGGAAUGUUUUGACAUGCACAAGCUGGUGCCCUCAAGACCUUGCUGAGUUGUCCUUGUCACUGGGAGGAAUGUCUCUGGUCUGUGGCUGUACUUCAAGGAAAUCAUUUCUGUUCAGGCAUGAUCAGAGCUCGUUCCCUUCUUCCAAGGGCAGCUUCUGGGCUCCCUGCUCCAUGUGCAGGAACAAGGGGGGCUUUAAGGUAUUCUCAGAGAAGGAAGGACCUUUGCAAUUUACUGCUUCAGGGGAGCUCUAAUUGUUGAUCUGUUCCUGUGGUUUAGAAAUUACUCCCUCACAGAACAAUAAUAACAACCUGCUUAAUCAUAAGGUACUUUACUACUAAUAUUCCUACAGCUCUAAUAUUCAAAUCUUAAUAAUAAGCUUAUAAAACGCUGAGUUCUGUUCUUCCCAUGGGAAUCUACUUCUGUCAUGAGUUACAUAGCUGAAGCCAGCCGAAGUUGUGCAAUUACAUUCUCAAGUGCUUGUAAAUUGUUUGCCAAAAUUUUUAAAUUGUUGACAUAAUUUCAAGGAAUUACAUUGCUGGUAUUUUACAGAUUUUCUUCAACGUUCACAUUCUCAGUAUUGUAAAUGCUUCUGAAUGGCUGUGUCAAAUGCACAUCUUAUUUAUGUUGUUUUGUGGACCUCAGCAACAAAGUUGAACUAAUUUCUGAGCACUGUGCCUCAAGAACUGAAAAUAGGAAAUGCAACACUGGAGCACAUUCAUUAUCCAGCUGCUGGGCUUUUCAUCCAAAAUGGUUGCAGCCAGAUGUUUCUGACAGAAGCGCAAAGACUCUCAUGUUGCCUUAGAAAGAGCAAUUUUGUUCAGUACUAAAGAAAUAGAAUUAAAAUUUUUAUGUAAUUUAUCCGUGUUUGACUUUCUGAAUACUGUAUUUUUGUUCCCUAUGUCACUGCCUAUGACAGUGAAUGCCACAGUUUAAUUUGUGGGGGAAGAUAUUUUGGUUUAUGGCUUGGGGUUUGAUAGUGUCAGGUGCCAUCUUAUUCCACACCUUCAAUGAAUUUUUCCACAUCUCUCUGAGUCCUUAAUUACCCCGCAGAGUUUUUUGAGAUGGCUACAUUAGUACUGCAUGCAGUAUCUCAAAUAAGGCAACAGCAGUGAUUUGCCCUAACAUACAGUGUUGUAUUCUCCCUAUUAUCCUGCACAUGUGGUAGCAUUGUUUGUUCUUUCCUGUUGCUGCAUAUUGAGAUGAGUAUCUUUCUGAGUAGUUCACAACGAUGUCAAGUUGACUUUCUUUACUGCUAAUGUUAAACUUUGUGAGCAUUUUUUUCUUAUGUAUAGUAUUUUGCAUUUCUGGACCCUCAACUUCACUAGUCAGCCUGUCCCACUUGCUUAGUUACCUAAUUUCUUCUGAAAUUUUACACUUCCAUUUUCAUUUAUAAUUUCAGAUAAAUGUGGAUCUUUCUGGUCUGAAAUCCCACUGGUUAUUCCAUUAACUUUUUAGAAAAAUAGAUAUAAUAUUUGUUACUUCUAGUUCUUUUGCACAUAAAUGGUUUCUAAUGAAGGACUAUGUAUUGUUAGCAGAUCAGCCUGUUUAUUCUGAACCUCUUUCAGCAUUUUUGGAUGCUCACCAUCUGGGCAGGUUGACAACUUGUUAACAUACUGCUGUCACUAUCCAGGCCUUCGAACAGGAAGUGAGAAUGGGUCAGAAAGUCCUUUUUCAAUUGAAAUAAUUCAGUAGGAAGAAUAAAGUAAGGCUGAGUUGAAAACAACUUUUGAGAAUCCAGACAUUGAUUUGAUGAAUGGGAGAUUGGGAACAGUACCAUAAUUAUUGCCAUCAUCCACUUCAGUUUAUUUGGAGUAUAAAUAAACAAUUCUAUGAAUAUAAAUAUGCAUAUUUAGGGGCAAAUUGCUUUCUGCUGUAACAAAUUUGAAGACAGAAGUAUUACACUACCAUAACUAAUUGGAGCGAUUCAAAGUCUCAAAGCACAAAUACAACACCACUUCUGUAUCUCACACUGGAGGUCUUUGUAGUUGCAGUUCACUUCAGGAAAAUUCCUGAAUAGAAAUAGGGUUAGGUUUGCCUCUGAGCACUUUGUUUAAGUGAACUAUAAACAGAGACAUGCCUGUAACACCAGCCAUUAGAAUUCAGAGUCAUCAGUAAGGAAGAAAAGUUGCCAUUAGCAGUAAGUCAGGCAGUGUACCGCAGAUCGGUCUGCAGGAAUUGAACUCCCCAAGACCUCGACAUUUAUCGGUGAGUUCCCAGCCACAAAAACACAUUCAGCCUUCUAAUCAAUAGGAGUCUAAAUCACAGCUUUAAUACAACGCUUAGGUCUCAGAUCAGCAAGAAUGAGAGGCUUGCAGGCGUAUGAAAGGUGGUGGGAACCGUUGGCAAUAUGUAAAACAAAUCAGAGAGCAAACCUGCUAGGCAGUGGGGGAGGCAUUAACAGCUGAGUGAAUUGAGUGCUUGGGUUUGCAUUUUCCAUCUGCUGAACCUGGCUUAACUUCUGGCAGGGUCCUGGCCCUUUCGGUGGGCAGCAGCAUGCUGACCACUCCCUUUGUGCCACCACAGCUGAGACUCAUGUAGCAGAGAGGUGUCAAAAGGAAAAAAAAUCCACAUAUUAGGAUCAUGAAUGUAGUGUGUUAAGUUUGUAAGCCUUUUACUGCAUUUUGCAAGAACUAGGUGACUGUCUGGAUUUUCAGGGGUCCCCACUGAGGAGAAACACAUUAUAUAUUUCAUGAAAAGGAAAAUACUUCCUUGAAAGAGAAAACUUCCACUCCCUUGAAACUUGCUGUGGGCUUGUAUUCUGUUCCUAGUUGUAACAUUUUGGGUAUGCUGACUUCUCUGCUUUCUCUUGGUGCUACUGUCAGUCUGAGGACUUUUUGUUACUUCUAUAGUUUAAAUAUUCUUUAUUAUCCAUUGAAUGCUAACACAAUAUAUUUUAGUGCUUAUAUACAUAAAUACAGCUGUUAGUGAGCUUCCCACUAGAACAUAUCAAAGCAUAUCACACGUUAUUAACUAUGCUAAUAAUUGUUUCCCAUCCUCAAGCGUACUUUGAGUGGCUGUUACAACCCAUUCAAAUAAAGUUAAAAAAAUUAAAAUCAUUAGGAGAAGUUAUAAUUAAAAUGAAAUUCAAACCAAUAAUACAUUUCUGUUUGUUUUGUUACCUUACACAACAAAAUAUUUCCUUAUUGAAUUUCUUUCUUCCUAGGAAGAGUGCUUUUUGGAACAUUUUUUCAAUGGAAAAUAAGUAGAAACAAAACACCUGCAAGUUCUGGGCAUUGCAAUAGACAAAAUAAAAAUAGUUACACAUGGUAUAGUAUCAGGUAUUCUGAAUGUGUUUUAUAUAUCUCUUCCCAAGUAGAGAGGUGCAAUAUUCUUUUAUAUUUGUGCUCUAUUAAAAAUAUAAUCAAGUAGUUGUAGGAAUACAAUACUAUUCCAUUAGUGCUCUUUUUAUCUUAGACAUUAACAUGACUAAGCAGCAUCAAGGAUCGGCAGUACCCAUUAAUAACCUUCAAUACUGUCUUUUAUAAUACAUUUAGUACCUUACAUAUUCUGUCAGUCAUAAACAAAACAAUUAGGGAGUUUAGAAAAUCCAUUAUAACUACAGAAGACAACCAGUCAGCCACAAUUAACAGACUUUGUUGAAAGGAAUAGGUUUUUUAGAACAUCAUUUUUAAAAAGUAUCAAUGUAUACAUGAUAAAAGGUUCUAUUCUAGUUUUUUUCUGAUUCUUCCACUGAUAUCAAGAGUACUGAGCAGAGACCCAGGAUAGAAUAUGGCCUUAGCCUUAUGCUCAGAUGAGCUGUUAAAAUGCCCAGUCUGAAAUCAGGAAGAAACAGCACAGGGAGCCACCUAAUGAGGCUUUACGCUCUUCUACGUUAAGGAUUAUGAGUUCUGUUCUAAAAAUACCCCAGUUCCUUAUGUGGUACCAAGAAACUCUAUACUCCCACAAUAAGGAACUGGCUGUUGUCCCUGUGAGUCUCCACCUGACAUAAACGGACCAGAAAAAGGGAUUUUCAAAAGAGAGCAGGUUUUGAUUCAGCAUUUUAUAGUAAUUAGGUGAAUGACAUGGGCAUUAAGAACUUCCCCAAUCACUUGACACAGAAAAAAAUUUUCUGAAGGAACAACCAAACUGAUACUGCAGUUGCAUUCUCCAGCACAUUGAGAACUUACUACCUCCACUGUACCAUGGCUAGUUUUAUAUGUAUGGUGAAAGUAAAAUUCUAGUGACUCACACCCUUGCAGGCAUUUAAAUUCCUCCUUUAAACCCAGGAGUAAGAGUGAAUUCCCAUAAGUCUGUCACAUUAUUUCAGAAUGAGGUAACUCAAGAGAACAAUCAUAGCACUAAGAUAGCAUAUGCCUUACCCAGCAUAGCUGGCUGGCUCUGAAAUACAUUUCCAUGAAAUGUAACUUUCCCAAGGUACACUGUGAGACAAUAUGUUUGUAAAUAAAUGUUGGUAGCAGAUUAGCGAGUUUCUCCAACUCCACUUAAAUUCGGUCACAUGUUUAUAAUAUGUUCAUAACAAGAAGGAUGCACAGCCAUUAUCUUUAUAAUUUGAUAGAGAGUGCAUGUAGGCAAGUAUAAUGGGAGAAAACAGAUCAAAACCAAAUUCAAUAGGACAUUAAGUAAAAGACUACAACAGAAGACAAGAAGAAAUAGAAAACACUUAAUGGUUUGCUGGUAGAUUGGAGAUGGGUUCAUGACUUUGUCAUGCAAAGGGCACUGAAGAAGAAAUGGACAAACUGAGAUGGCACUCACAGAUGUGCAGCCAAUGUUGAGAAAUAAUAAAAAAUAUUAUUUGGGUUCAUCUGGGGUUUGAAAUCAUGCUCAUUUAGCAGGUAAAACUAUAUUAAAGAAAUAUGGUUUGACAUAAAAAAGAAACUGCCAAAUGAGAUUAUUUAUUAAGAUGAUUUUUGGAAAUGUAUUUAUUAAGAAAAAAAUUGGGAUGUUUCAGCUGUGAGACAUAGUUUGAAAUCUUUCUACUCACAUUGUAAAUACUUAUGGAGUAGGUAGUUAUUAAGCCAAAUGCUUUGCAGAGCAUAUGCAGCUAUGGGUAAAAAGGCAUCAGAAAGAUUAACUUAUUAGAGUAGUAUUGUUCAGGUGAUAUAUUUUUCUUUUCAAAUAACAUUAAAUAUUAAAAAAAUCUCCAUUAUUUAUUACAGAAGCAUAUUGUUUAGGGCUGGCUUCCAUAAUACACAUUAAUCAGCUCAUGUGAUCAGCUGACAUGCACUGUAUGAUUAGUUUUAUUCACUCAUCAACAUCUGUGAAAGGUAGAAAUGUCUAGAAAUGAACACAGAAUUCAUGUCUAUAUUUUAAAGACGGCAGUGAAGCAUAAUGCUUGAUGACUUAAGUGAAUGCAAAGGUGCCUAAAAUAAAUUUGAGCUUUCUUCCUGAGCUGCACUAAAUCAUCUUCAGCAUCAGUGUAGGUUUCUCUCACGUGGUGCACUAGAUGUAUGUAAACAAAAGAUUAUUUUUACUUUGAGCUUGUAAUAGAUUUUUAUGCCACAUUCAGAUUUGGCACAAUUUAACAGAUAUAGUUAGCUUCCCUGGAGUUGCAUACACUACACAAACUGACUUUAUCCUGCCACAUUCAAAGUUCCCUGAAUUUCAGAAGUACCUGGUAGAUUCAUUGCAGGGUAGUGGAAAAAAGUUACUUCCCAUGCGCUAGCUUCAUUCAGAAUAAGAAAUAAAUUCAUUGAAGACUAAAUAAUUGCAAUUAUAGUGGAAAGACUUGACAAGGACACAGAAUUCAUGCAAGUGAUGUGUGACAGUUCAGCUAUAGAAAUAACACUAGCUGAAAAAUAAGCUUUGCUCCUAGCUUUUAGCACAGUAACAGCCCCAGUGCUGUACAAGAGAUUUGUUUUAUGCUGUUUCAGCAUCAGGUGAAGAAACACAGACCUUUACCUUGUCUUUCAUUCUACCAAGUUCUUAGUGAAUUUUUAGAAAAUCACAUCCAGCUAUACACAGUACAAAGGCCUAUCCCACAAUUAGAUGUGUAAAACUGAACCCUUCAAUCCUACAAGCACAUCUAGAUAACUGAAUUCUUUUUUCUGGUUAGAGUUCUGCUUAAGUCAGUGAAGCUUUACAUAAGUGCAAGGAUUGUCCAGGUGAUAACUUAUAGGCUUGUGUUUUAAUGCAGUAUUGUUAUCAAGAACUUCUUGUUAUUAGUAAAAUCCACCUGAUCUUCAAUAUUGUGCAUCUUCUAUGCAGUACAACACUGCAGUGGGCAAUAUGCCUUCUUGGCUUUAUUUUAUAUGUGUAUAAUAUAUACACAAAUGAAAAGUAUCACCUGCAAAUAAUAUUUGAAAUGUGAAAGACACAAAAUGUAAACAUUUUAUUUGGCAGUUGUUUCAAACAGGUGAAUAAAUAAAUGGAAAAGUACAUCUUAAUAUUCUUUAUAGCAACAGAUGCAGUUGCACAUGUAUUUACAUAUUGUGGAUGCAAAGAACAGUUAAUUUAAUUUCUUUUUGUUAAAAAAUGCAACUUCCAACACCACUAGACUUGACAA